GGACGGUUAGCUCGGUGGUUUGAGUGCGGUGCUGACAAUGACCAACACCGAGGUCGCGGGUUCGAUUCCCACCUGGUCUA
rnacentral:tRNA from 1 species